rnacentral:ribozyme from 1 species
UGCCCAGCAACUCCUAUCCCUGCCCCCUUGUUGUACUGGCCGGGAUAAGAGCAACCUAAGGGAAGAUCGAUUAUCCAACCCCGGGUGGAACUUUGGUCGUAUGUUGACAGGGAAGG